rnacentral:piRNA from 1 species
GUUGCUGAGGAUGGAUUCGUCGG